ACGGGUGAGUAAUGCCUAGGAAUCUGCCUGGUAGUGGGGGACAACGUUUCGAAAGGAACGCUAAUACCGCAUACGUCCUACGGGAGAAAGCAGGGGACCUUCGGGCCUUGCGCUAUCAGAUGAGCCUAGGUCGGAUUAGCUAGUUGGUGGGGUAAUGGCUCACCAAGGCGACGAUCCGUAACUGGUCUGAGAGGAUGAUCAGUCACACUGGAACUGAGACACGGUCCAGACUCCUACGGGAGGCAGCAGUGGGGAAUAUUGGACAAUGGGCGAAAGCCUGAUCCAGCCAUGCCGCGUGUGUGAAGAAGGUCUUCGGAUUGUAAAGCACUUUAACUUGGGAGGAAGGGCAGUAAGCUAAUACCUUGCUGUNUCGACGUUACCGACAGAAUAAGCACCGGCUAACUCUGUG
rnacentral:rRNA from 1 species